GGAUUUUGUAAAUCAAGAGAUUGGUUUGGUGAGUUGAAUUCCGGACUGGAGCAACAAAGGUGUUUAAAAGGAAGAAUUUUGAGAUACUGUUACGGGAGAUAGAGCUUGUGGCUGACGAGUUUGUUCGAGUGGAUCGUAUUGCUGAGGUGAGCCACCGCAUUGUUCGUGGAGGCUUUCGUUUCAGACUUACCGAGCUCGUGUUAGUUAUUUCCUUUUUCUUUGGGGUUUGCAUACCUGUCAAUAAACUCAUGUUACUCUGUUAGAUGCUCCAUGGUCUUAGUGUGGGAUUUGGGCUAGAGUUUUAUUAUUUGAGUGAUUGUUGGUUUUUCUAUCGAUUGACUAAGGUAUUGGGCGAUAAUCGUUUCCUCUUUAAUUAUUAAUAAAACUAUUAGGCCUGCAUUUUCUUCUCUCA